UACGUAGGCAGCAAGCGUUGUUCGGAGUUACUGGGCGUAAAGGGUGCGUAGGUGGUUUCUUAAGUCAGAGGUGAAAGGCUACGGCUCAACCGUAGUAAGCCUUUGAAACUGGGAAACUUGAGUGCAGGAGAGGAGAGUGGAAUUCCUAGUGUAGCGGUGAAAUGCGUAGAUAUUAGGAGGAACACCAGUUGCGAAGGCGGCUCUCUGGACUGUAACUGACACUGAGGCACGAAAGCGUGGGGAGCAAACAGG
rnacentral:rRNA from 1 species